CUUUGACCUCGGAUCAGGUAGGGAUACCCGCUGAACUUAAGCAUAUCAAUAAGCGGAGGUAAAAGAAACCAACAGGGAUUGCCCUAGUAACGGCGAGUGAAGCGGCAACAGCUCAAAUUUGAAAUCUGGCUCUUUUAGAGUCCGAGUUGUAAUUUGCAGAGGGCGCUUUGGCUUUGGCAGCGGUCCAAGUUCCUUGGAACAGGACGUCACAGAGGGUGAGAAUCCCGUACGUGGUCGCUGGCUAUUGCCGUGUAAAGCCCCUUCGACGAGUCGAGUUGUUUGGGAAUGCAGCUCUAAAUGGGAGGUACAUUUCUUCUAAAGCUAAAUAUUGGCCAGAGACCGAUAGCGCACAAGUAGAGUGAUCGAAAGAUGAAAAGCACUUUGGAAAGAGAGUCAAACAGCACGUGAAAUUGUUGAAAGGGAAGCGCUUGCAGCCAGACUUGCUUGCAGUUGCUCAUCCGGGCUUUUGCCCGGUGCACUCUUCUGCAGGCAGGCCAGCAUCAGUUUGGGCGGUAAGAUAAAGGUCUCUGUCACGUACCUCUCUUCGGGGAGGCCUUAUAGGGGAGACGACAUAUUACCAGCCUGGACUGAGGUCCGCGCAUCUGCUAGGAUGCUGGCGUAAUGGCUGUAA
rnacentral:rRNA from 2 species